rnacentral:rRNA from 1 species
ACUACGGGUGGCAGCAGUGGGGGAUAUUGCACAAUGGGGGAAACCCUGAUGCAGCGACGCCGCGUGUGGGAAGACGGUCCUCUGGAUUGUAAACCACUGUCCCCAGGGACGAAGAUGACGGUACCUGGGGAGGAAGCUCCGGCUAACUACGUGCCAGCAGCGGCGGUAAUACGUAGGGAGCGAGCGUUGUCCGGAAUUACGGGGUGUAAAGGGAGCGUAGGCGGGACUGCAAGUUGGGUGUCAAAUCUACCGGCUCAACCGGUAGCCGCACUCAAAACUGCAGUUCUUGAGUGAAGUAGAGGCAGGCGGAAUUCCUAGUGUAGCGGUGAAAUGCGUAGAUAUUAGGAGGAACACCAGUGGCGAAGGCGGCCUGCUGGGCUUUUACUGACGCUAAGGCUCGAAAGUGUGGGGAGCAAACAGGAUUAGAUACCCGGGUAGUC